GUUAAUUGUGGACAAAACGUGUGGUCCAUGCUACAGUGUGUUUAUAUAAUUAGAAUUAAGUAACAAUAUGCAAAUUUUAAAAUACAAUAUGUUGAAUAAGCUACUUACAAUUAUUUCUAAAACAUAUGCCAAAAGACGAAGAUAUAAAUGCAGAAAGGUAUCGGCGUUAACUAUAGUCCUACUCUCUCUACUUAUUUUCUGGGCAAUUACUGAAUGUAUAAGGACUUUUUCCAACGGACAAUUAAGAAUAAUGGCUGAACACACUGAUUAUUAUACCGAAACUAAAACAUGGGACGAUGUGGAAAAACGUAACGAAAGGCGAAGGAAUCAUCUAAGAAAGAUGUGCAAAUUAUUGGGUUUAAACAAGGUGGGAAACGAUUCUCUCCAUGAACCGAACCCUUGGGAAUUUUUAAUUAAUAGAAAACACCAUCUUGUCUGGUGUAACGUAUUUAAAGCCGCUUCAUCAUCCUGGAUGUACAACUUCAAUGUUUUGGCGGGAACGAACCCAGGAUUCUUCUUAAACAACUCAAUCUACCAAUUAAAUCGUACAGAUUAUUAUGACGCAACGUAUAAUGGACAAAGUGGUCAAGCCGUCAAAGUACGAAUCAAAGAACAUCAGUAAACUUUCAGACAAUAUCUCGAUUCUCCAAAUAGUUCGAAAUAUUUCGUUUUUAACCAUAUUUUGGACAGAGAAAUUGUUCGAUUUUUGCAAUUUGUAACAUAAAAACGAAAAUAUAACUUCUUAAAAAACCAACAGCAACUAAAUUCUGUGAAACUUACAAACUUUUAGUGGGUACUCUUAGGAAAGAUAUCGAUACCUACAAAUAGAUACAUAUCAGCUAGGUCCAAACAUGAAAACACCUGUAGUCAAAUGUUAAUUUAAUUUUAAAUAAAUUGUUUUGAAUCUGGUUUAUUGUUAGUAUUUUAUUUCAC